rnacentral:rRNA from 1 species
GGGUUGUGAGGUUAAGCGACUAAGCGUACACGGUGGAUGCCCUGGCAGUCAGAGGCGAUGAAGGGCGUGCUAAUCUGCGAUAAGCGCCGGUAAGGUGAUAUGAACCGUUAUAACCGGCGAUACCCGAAUGGGGAAACCCAGUGUGACUCGUCACACUAUCAUUAACUGAAUCCAUAGGUUAAUGAGGCGAACCGGGGGAACUGAAACAUCUAAGUACCCCGAGGAAAAGAAAUCAACCGAGAUUCCCCCAGUAGCGGCGAGCGAACGGGGAGGAGCCCAGAGCCUGAAUCAGCAUGUGUGUUAGUGGAAGCGUCUGGAAAGGCGCGCGAUACAGGGUGACAGCCCCGUACACAAAAGCGCAUGUGCUGUGAGCUCGAUGAGUAGGGCGGGACACGUGGUAUCCUGUCUGAAUAUGGGGGGACCAUCCUCCAAGGCUAAAUACUCCUGACUGACCGAUAGUGAACCAGUACCGUGAGGGAAAGGCGAAAAGAACCCCGGCGAGGGGAGUGAAAAAGAACCUGAAACCGUGUACGUACAAGCAGUGGGAGCCCCACCACUAAGCCA